UACAGAGGUCUCAAGCGUUGUUCGGAUUCAUUGGGCGUAAAGGGUGUGUAGGUGGCGCCGUAAGUCGGGUGUGAAAUUUCGGAGCAUAACUCCGAAACUACAUUCGAUACUGCGGUGCUUGAGGACUGGAGAGGAGACUGGAAUUCAUGGUGUAGCAGUGAAAUGCGUAGAGAUCAUGAGGAAGACCAGUGGCGAAGGCGGGUCUCUGGACAGUUCCUGACACUGAGACACGAAGGCCAGGGGAGCAAACGGG
rnacentral:rRNA from 1 species